GGCUUGAUCCUGGCUCAGAUUGGAACGCUGGCGGGAUGCUUACAUGCAAGUCGAACGGCAGCACGGACUUCGGUCUGGUGGCGAGUGGCGAACGGGUGAGUAAUGGUAUCGAACGUGCCUAGUAAGGGGGAUAACUACGCGAAAGCGUAGCUAAUACCGCAUACUGCCCUUCGGGGGAAAGCGGGGGACCUUCGGGCCUCGCACUAUUAGAGCGGUCACCGGAUUAGCUAGUUGGUGGGGUAACGGCUCACCAAGGCGACGAUCCGUAGCUGGUUUGAGAGGACGACCAGCCACACUGGACUGAGACGGCCCAGACUCUACGGGAGGCAGCAGUGGGGAAUUUGGACAAUGGGGAAACCUGAUCCAGCCAUCCUGCGUGUGCGAUGAAGGCCUUCCGGGUUGUAAAGCACUUGGUGUGAAAGAAACGGCACGGGAUAAUACUCCGGAAAAACUGACGUACCCGCAGAAUAAGCACCGUGGCUAACUACGUGCCAGCAGCCGCGGUAAUACGUAGGGGUGCAAGGCAAGAACACCUGAAUUACUGGGCGUAAAGCGUGCGCAGGCGGUUCGGAAAGAAAGAUGUGAAAUCCCAGAGCUUAACUUUGGAACUGCAUUUUUAACUACCGAGCUAGAGUGUGUCAGAGGGAGGUGGAAUUCCGCGUGUAGCAGUGAAAUGCGUAGAUAUGCGGAGGAACACCGAUGGCGAAGGCAGCCUCCUGGGAUAACACUGACGCUCAUGCAUCGAAAGCGUGGGGAGCAAACAGGAUUGAUAAUUCUGGUAGUCCACGCCCUAAACGAUGUCAACUAGCUGUUGGGCUUUCGGCCUGGUAGCGCAGCUAACGCGUGGAAGUUGACCGCCUGGGGAGUACGGUCGCAAGAUUAAAACUCAAAGGAAUUGACGGGACCCGCACAAGCGGUGGGAUGAUGUGGAUUAAUUGAUGCAACGCGAAACCCAUCACCUACCCUUGACAUGUCUGAAUCCCGAAGAGAUUUGGGAGUGCUCGCAAGAGAACCGAACACAGGUGCUGCAUGGCUGUCGUCAGCUCGUGUCGUGAGAUGUUGGGUUAAGUCCUGCAACGAGCGCAACCCCUUGUCAUUAGUUGCUACGAAAGGGCACUCUAAUGAGACUGCUUGCGACAAACUGGAGGAAGGUGGGGAUGACGCUUGAGUCCUUCAUGGCCCUUAUGGGUAGGGCUUCACACGUCAUACAAUGGUCGGGACAGAGGGUCGCCAACCCGCGAGGGGGAGCCAAUCCUAGAAACCUGAUCGCAGUCCGGAUCGCAGUCUGCAACCUGACUGCGUGAAGUCGGAAUCGCUAGUAAUCGCGGAUCAGCAUGUCGCGGUGAAUACGUUCCUCAGUCUUGUACACACCGCCCGUCACACCAUGGGGAGUGGGUUUUACCAGAAGCGAGCAGGCUCAACCGUAAGGAGGGCGAUUACCACGGUAGGAUUCAUGACUGGUGAAGUCGUAACAAGGUAG
rnacentral:rRNA from 1 species